UAUCUGUGCCACUGUUCAAAGCUGACAAGCUAUACACCUUGAAAUAUGUGCACAGCCCAGCUCUUAAGACUCUGGAUAGUGUCUUCAGCGUAAUCUUCUAUGAGGGAAAGGAUGCACGUGAAAGAAAUUGAGCCCUGGCCCUAUCUGCUGGGAUGAGCCCAGGUCAGUGUGUUAUGACCUCGCUCACAGCUCCAUAAGAGUUCAAAUGCAGGGAAGACAUAAGAAAAACACAACCAGAGGAUGAUGAGUGUAAGCAGCA